ACGAACGCUGGCGGCGUGCCUAAUACAUGCAAGUCGAGCGGACGGAUGGGAGCUUGCUCCCAGACCGUCAGCGGCGGACGGGUGAGUAACACGUGGGCAACCUGCCUGUAAGACUGGGAUAACUCCGGGAAACCGGGGCUAAUACCGGAUAACUCUUUCCCUCACAUGAGGGAAAGCUGAAAGAUGGCAUCUCGCUAUCACUUACAGAUGGGCCCGCGGCGCAUUAGCUAGUUGGUGAGGUAACGGCUCACCAAGGCGACGAUGCGUAGCCGACCUGAGAGGGUGAUCGGCCACACUGGGACUGAGACACGGCCCAGACUCCUACGGGAGGCAGCAGUAGGGAAUCUUCCGCAAUGGACGAAAGUCUGACGGAGCAACGCCGCGUGAGUGAUGAAGGUUUUCGGAUCGUAAAACUCUGUUGUCAGGGAAGAACAAGUACCGGAGCAACUGCCGGUACCUUGACGGUACCUGACCAGAAAGCCACGGCUAACUACGUG
rnacentral:rRNA from 1 species